AACGAACGCUGGCGGCAUGCCUAACACAUGCAAGUCGAACGAACCCUUCGGGGUUAGUGGCGCACGGGUGCGUAACGCGUGGGAAUCUGCCCUUUGCUUCGGAAUAACAAUUAGAAAUGACUGCUAAUACUGGAUGAUGUCUUCGGACCAAAGAUUUAUCGGCAAGGGAUGAGCCCGCGUAGGAUUAGGUAGUUGGUGGGGUAAAGGCCUACCAAGCCGACGAUCCUUAGCUGGUCUGAGAGGAUGAUCAGCCACACUGGGACUGAGACACGGCCCAGACUCCUACGGGAGGCAGCAGUGGGGAAUAUUGGACAAUGGGCGCAAGCCUGAUCCAGCAAUGCCGCGUGAGUGAUGAAGGCCUUCGGGUCGUAAAGCUCUUUUACCAGGGAUGAUAAUGACGGUACCUGGAGAAUAAGCUCCGGCUAACUCCGUGCCAGCAGCCGCCGUAA
rnacentral:rRNA from 1 species